rnacentral:rRNA from 1 species
UUCGAUUAGUUUGAUCAUGGCUCAGGACAAACGCUGGCGGCGUGCUUAACACAUGCAAGUCGAACGGGUUCCCUUAGGGGAGCUAGUGGCGGACGGGUGAGUAACACGUAGGUAACCUGCCCCCUUGUGGGGAAUAACUCCUCGAAAGAGGAGCUAAUACCGCAUAAGUUCUCUCAUGAUAGUGAGAGAGGAAAGCUGCUUUACGGUGGCGCAAGGGGAGGGGUCUGCGGCGGAUUAGCUAGUAGGUGGGGUAACGGCCUACCUAGGCGACGAUCCGUAGCUGGUCUGAGAGGACGACCAGCCACACUGGGACUGAGACACGGCCCAGACUCCUACGGGAGGCAGCAGUGAGGAAUAUUCCACAAUGGGCGAAAGCCUGAUGGAGCGACGCCGCGUGCGGGAUGAAGCCCUUUGGGGUGUAAACCGCUUUUUUGGGGGAUGAAACGAUGCCUUCGGGCAUCUAAGACAGUACCCCAAGAAUAAGCAUCGGCUAACUACGUGCCAGCAGCCGCGGUAAUACGUAGGAUGCAAGCGUUGUCCGGAUUUACUGGGCGUAAAGCGCGCGCAGGCGGCACUGUAAGUAAGAUGUGAAAUCUCCCGGCUCAACCGGGAGGNUGCAUUUUAGACUACAGAGCUAGAGGUCGGUAGAGGGGGGUGGAAUUGCUG